rnacentral:rRNA from 1 species
UACAGAGGGUGCGAGCGUUGUCCGGAAUCACUGGGCGUAAAGGGCGCGUAGGUGGCGGCCCAAGUCUGUGGUGAAAGCUCGCCGCUUAACGGCGAGUCGGCCACGGAGACUGGGUGGCUCGAGCACUGUAGGGGCAGAUGGAAUUCCGGGUGUAGCGGUGGAAUGCGUAGAUAUCAGGAGGAACACCGGUGGCGAAGGCGGUUCUCUGGGAAUAUCCUGACGCUGAGGAGCGAAAGUGUGGGGAGCGAACAGG